UACGUAGGGUGCGAGCGUUGUCCGGAAUUACUGGGCGUAAAGAGCUCGUAGGUGGUUUGUCGCGUUGUUCGUGAAAACUCACAGCUUAACUGUGGGCGUGCGGGCGAUACGGGCAGACUGGAGUACUGCAGGGGAGACUGGAAUUCCUGGUGUAGCGGUGGAAUGCGCAGAUAUCAGGAGGAACACCGGUGGCGAAGGCGGGUCUCUGGGCAGUAACUGACGCUGAGGAGCGAAAGCGUGGGGAGCGGACAGG
rnacentral:rRNA from 1 species